rnacentral:rRNA from 1 species
UACAGAGGUCCCAAGCGUUGUUCGGAUUCACUGGGCGUAAAGGGUGCGUAGGUGGCUUGGUAAGUUUGAUGUGAAAUCUCCGGGCUUAACCCGGAAAUGGCAUUGAAUACUAUUGAGCUGGAGGUUUGGAGGGGGGACUGGAAUUCUCGGUGUAGCAUUGAAAUGCGUAGAUAUCGAGAGGAACACCAGUGGCGAAGGCGAGUCCCUGGACAACACCUGACACUGAGGCACGAAAGCUAGGGGAGCAAACAGG